GCCAGAUCCCACCAGGAGCUUUCAACAUGACAUUACAAGGUCUUCACUGGAUCAGCUGUACUAAGAAAAACAAAUGACCUCCUCCUAGCUGCUGACACGGAUUCAAGGAAUGAGUGGGGGUCUCUGGUUCUGCUUUAAUCUGGUUCUCGUCAACGGAGCCCUGAUUGUCUCUGUUGUCACAAACUCAAACAAGCUGCUUCAACCCAGGACCGUUAUACCUGACUGGGGCGGUCGAUUGGCCCUGUGUAAAUGGAAUGCGUUUACAGGAUGUGAGGGGGCCAAAGUGCUGGAUCAGUGAAAACCGAGAAGACCCGCAUCUCACCCCUGCCUGCCUGCCUGGACAUCCUCAGCCAGCGAACACAAGACGUCUCCUUCCGCUGAAAACAGCACCUCAACCAAACUACAACAAAAGGAAAUAUGGGAACCUCUCAGACUCUGACAAUUACAUAACAGUGUGGACUAUAAUAAUCUUCUCCAUGCGCGUAAUGGCUCAUCCCAU